rnacentral:lncRNA from 10 species
UGGAUGAGGAAUACAUUUAUUAUUUGGGGAAAGGUGACUUUGGGACCUGUAAUUUACAGGCUGUCAUGGAAACAAGUUGCACAUGAGAUCAAAGGAUUGUAUCUGAAGCUUACAAAAUUUGCCUGACGUAGGUGUCAGAAACAAGUGCUAAAAUGGAAAAUGUGGAAUCACUAGCCUUCAAUGAUAACAUUCCGAAUAAUUCAUACUAACAUGCAAGGAAGCUCCAUUCCCUAGCUCUCCCACCACUUGGUAUGUGUUGAAAAGGUGCUGUGAUGAACAAUAGACAGGCUUUUGUCAGAUUUAGUUUGCCGUAUUGCAUGUACAUGAAGCCAAAGAGUGACUGGGAAGAAUCCCAGCAGAGCACGAGAGAGCAACAAACUAUAAAAGAAAAAAUGAGAACGGAAAGAGGGGAAAAGGUGAGAACUCAAGAGAACAUGCUAAAAUGAAGCCAGAGGGAAAUGUUGAAAAGGGAGAGAAACACUAUAGAGGAGGGAAAAAAGAAGAAGUAAAGUGAACAGUCUGCAGGCAGAAUCGUUGUAGAACUGAACAUAUCU